AUCAUGCAAUAACCAACGAUUAUUUAAUAAAAGAAAGUAAUACAUGUUGACUAUAAUAUGUAUUACUAUCUUUUUCGAGUUUAACAGAGUCGUUGAUGACGUACUUCCUUCUUGUUCACUUUAUCACUUUUCACUGGUGUACUGCAUUUUCUACCGUUCGUAGAUGUUAUGUGCAUUUUUGAUAAAAAAAAUUGGAAAGAGUAAUGGUACAUACAAAAUUUGUAUCACAAUAGGUUCUGGAAUUACGAUUUUAUCCGUGAUGUACUUUGGAAUAGACUGUUUCCAGCCUUUACCAAUGCCAAAUACUGUUUCGUCCAGCUGUUCAACCUACACACAGACAAUGCAUUUCUUUUUGAAGUCUUUGUUUCCAAGAGAUUGACUUUGAAUGAGAAGGAGAAAGACAACACUGAAGUUGAUUUGGAUGUUAUGCAGCAACCAGUAUCUACAAUGGUAUUGUGGUUUUUUCUGGACUUUGUAUUCUGUUGUUGUCCUCAUCUUGCAGCAUUAUGCAGUUAAGUUUGGGCCGAUGAAAGAGAACAACGGGAAAUUUUUUUUAAAAGCACUAAACGUGUUACCAUUCUUCCUGGGCUUGGCUUGCCCUUCACACUUGUAAAACUUUGGAACAUUGCAUUCUACAGUUAAUUAAGAUUGAUCAACAAGUAAGAAAAUUAAAGUUCAUGUUGGUUGCACCUAAAUAACCAAUUUCUACAUGGGAGGCAUAAUGCAGUUAAUUUUGGGCUGAUCAGAUAGAACUGGAAAUUUAUUUGGAAACCAAACAUGUCAUUGUUCGUGCAUUUGACUUUCUCUUCACACUUGUAAAACUCUGGAACGUUGCAUUCUUCAUUUAUUUAAGAUUGUUCAACAAAUGGGAAAGAAUAAAAGUUCAGUUUGGUCCUACUCAAACAACAAAUGUCUACAUGGGUAUCAUCUUUCCUGGAUUGUUUUCUUGAUUAGCUGUUUACAUCUUUGCCUUGCAACAUUAUGAAGUUAAUUUUCUGCGAUGGUAUUCCUGCCGGAUUUGUUUUGCUUUUUACACCUGUAAAGUUUGGAACUUUACAGUGUACAGUUACUUAAGGUGAGAAUAGUUGAUAUAUUUCAUUUUAAUUGCUCUUUAU